rnacentral:rRNA from 1 species
ACGACUCUCAACAACAGAUAUCUUGGCUCUUGCAAGGAUGAAGAACACAGCAAAAUGCGAUACGUAGUGUGAAUUGCAGAAUUCCGUGAAUCAUCGAGUCUUUGAACGCAAGUUGCACCCAUGGCUCGUUCAAGGGCAUGCCUUCCUAAGCAUCCCC